CUGAUGUGAUGAUCGUUCAGUUCUGCUUCCGAGUGUAAGUGACGAUAGCAACUUACCAAACCUUCUGAUCA